GAAGAUCAUGGUUUGAAGCCAGCUGGACUGAAAAUGAAUAAAUACAUAAACAAAUAUAUGCAAAACAUAUACCAUACAAUAGAGCAUUAUUCAGCAAGAAAAAGAAGGAAACACUGUUGCAUAUCAUAACAUGGAUGAAUCUUGAAAACAUGAGGCCAAGUGAAAGAAGCUAGACACAAAGCCAACAUAUUAUGGAAUCUCACUUAUAUGGAAUGUCCUGUCUAGGCAAAUUCAUGGAGCCCGAAAGCACAAGAGCAGUUACCAGGGGCUGGAGGAGAGGAAAUGGAGAUUAUCUUAACAGAAAUAUCACAGACUGGGUAGUGUAAACAAUAGGGAUGUAUUAGCACACAGUUUUGAAGGCUGGAAAUCCAAACUUGAGGUAUCAGUAAUGUUGGUUUCAAGUGAAGCCUGACUUUCUGAGGGCCACCUUCUUGCGAUGUCCUUUCCUCU